rnacentral:rRNA from 1 species
CUCGUGUCGUGAGAUGUUGGGUUAAGUCCCGUAACGAGCGCAACCCUUGUCCUUAGUUACCAGCACGUUAUGGUGGGCACUCUAAGGAGACUGCCGGUGACAAACCGGAGGAAGGUGGGGAUGACGUCAAGUCAUCAUGGCCCUUACGGCCUGGGCUACACACGUGCUACAAUGGUCGGUACAAAGGGUUGCCAAGCCGCGAGGUGGAGCUAAUCCCAUAAAACCGAUCGUAGUCCGGAUCGCAGUCUGCAACUCGACUGCGUGAAGCUGGAAUCGCUAGUAAUCGCAGAUCAGCCAAGCUGCGGUGAAUACGUUCCCGGGCCUU